rnacentral:rRNA from 1 species
CCUACGGGUGGCAGCAGUGAGGAAUAUUGGUCAAUGGGCGCGAGCCUGAACCAGCCAAGUAGCGUGAAGGAUGACUGCCCUACGGGUUGUAAACUUCUUUUAUACGGGAAUAAAGUGCGGCACGUGUGCCUCUUUGUAUGUACUUUAUGAAUAAGGAUCGGCUAAAUCCGUGCCAGCAGCCGCGGUAAUACGGAGGGUCCGAGCGUUAUCCGGAUUUAUUGGGGUUAAAGGGAGCGUAGGUGGGUUGUUAAGUGAGUUGUGAAAGUUCGCGGCUCAACCGGAGAAUUGCAAUUGAUACUGGCAGGCUUGAGUACAGUGGAGGCAGGCGGAAUUCGUGGUGUAGCGGUGAAAUGCUUAGAUAUGACGAAGAACCCCGAUUGCGAAGGCAGCUUACUAAACUGGAACUGACACUGAUGCUCGAAAGCGUGGGUAUCAAACAGGAUUAGAUACCCUUGUAGUC